rnacentral:lncRNA from 1 species
CAACAAGCAAGCUUGAGAACAUGGAGAUCCCUUCUGUAUUAAAGAAAAUGACACGCGUGCAAUGGAGAACAUUUAUUAAGCACUUACUGUGUACCAGGCAACCUGAUGAGGAAGCCAAGGCAACAGGAGGUUAACCGGCCCAACAACAGAUCCAAUAAAGCACCAAGAUUUCACGUCUGG